AACAGGAUCAUGGCCUAUAAAAUGCUUCAAGUGGUCUUGUGUUCAACUUUGCUUAUUGGCUCAUGAAAAAUGGACUGCUUUGAAGACAACAGCACAGUAUUAUCUGAAUGUGAAUUCCUUCACUUCUGACAUAUCUACUACCCAAUAAAUAUGCUUUGCUGGUUAAACCAGGACAGCAAAAACAGUGGGAGUCAGCACGGCAAUGUACCAAAACCACAGCUUUGGCGUGCUGAAAGCAAAUGCUUGUCACUUACUAGAUUAUUUAUUAUGUCUGUCUCACAGAGACGUUGAACAAAGUAAAUAUGGAAAUUUAUGUAGUGACCUAGAAUUCAAAGUUCUUUGUAAAUGGUAGGUAAAAUGAGCACUAAAGUUAAAAAGACUGUAGUAAUAACAUUUAUCAGAAAGGCCUUUUACUGAAAAAGAAAAAAAUAUUUAAAGCAGUAUCAUUAAAAUUCUCCGUUCAUAGCUAUUGCUUUCUAUUGCCUCUUCUUUGUUAGUUUACUUUUUAACUCAAGUAAGAGAGAUUUCUUAAAUGGGGCUGGUUCUCUCCUCUUCUCUUCAAUAUUUGUCACUGUCUAAAGCCAAGCUAUUUUAAGACCACACUCCUGAAACGUUUUUCAUCAAAGGUGUAUUACUGAGAGCAGUAGAAAAUAAAAUCUUAACUCAUAUUAGGGAGUAGAUGGUGACUAGGACCCCACUGAAAGCCACUCAUUUACAUAAAUGUCAACUUGUUCAGAAGUUUUGCCACAUGUAUGUAAAUUUGUAUUCUGCUCUAUAAUAUACUGUUAAUGUUUAUUUUAUUAUGAAAUAACAGAUUUGGCUUACUGGCCAGGAAUAUUUAUUGAUCUUUUA